rnacentral:rRNA from 1 species
UACGUAGGGGGCGAGCGUUGUCCGGAUUUAUUGGGCGUAAAGAGCUCGUAGGCGGUUUUGGUAAGUCGGGUGUGAAAACCCCAGGCUCAACCUGGGGACGCCACCUGAUACUGCUAUGACUUGAGUCUGGUAGGGGACCACGGAAUUCCUGGUGUGCGGUGAAAUGCGCAGAUAUCAGGAGGAACACCAAUGGCGAAGGCAGCACUCUGGGACGUGACUGACGCUGAGACGCGAAAGCGUGGGGAGCAAACAGGAU